UCCGAUCUCUGCUCCUGUUGAAACCUGGGGGCUCCGAGGAACCAGUGAUGCAGGAGGGAGAAACUCAAACCCACCAGAAGGCAGCUCCUCACUGUCAUCCAUCUGCCCUGGCCGUAGUCGAAUCACAGCUUGGGACUGCCAUCCUCUUUCUGCCUUGGAGCUUUCCCUCAUGCUGUUCCACUGCUGGGAUGGACCUCCCUUUCUCUCCCUCACCUGUUUAAUGGUCUCCUCACCCUCUACUUCCACUUGAACAGGCACUGUGAAGUUCCUGCACUUUAAGCUAUCAUAGCCUCUGCCGGCCCUGAUCCCUUGUCCUUCAAAUACCACCUCCAGCAGGAUGCCUCCUGGCAAGGCUGCCCCUUCCUGACACACUAGGUGGGACUACUCAAAGAAUACCCUGUGGUCAGCAGCAAUUGAAACCAUCAAUUCAUGCAUACUUGGCUAGGAAAGCCUAUUUUGAAAAACUGUGAUUUGGAAAACUAGGUGAGUUAUAUGAAAUUCUAAUUUGUUUUAUAUCUUAUAAGGUACUUUGGUCAUUGCCAAAGAUAGGACCCUAGACAUAUGUAUGUCCCCCUACAUCGUGUGAAGCUGGAAGGUUCAUGCAUUUACUCUAAAGCUCCUAAAGUUAAGAAAGCUGUGUAUUUAUGGAUCAUGAAU